rnacentral:rRNA from 1 species
UACGAAGGGGGCUAGCGUUGUUCGGAAUACUGGGCGUAAGCGCGCGCAGGCGGUCUUCCAAGUCAGUGGUGAAAGCCCGGAGCUCAACUCCGGAACUGCCAUUGAAACUGUUAGACUUGAGGAUGAGAGAGGUGAGUGGAAUUCCCAGUGUAGAGGUGAAAUUCGUGAGAUAGUUGGGAAGGACACCGGUGGCGAAGGCGGCUCACUGGCUCAUUACUGACGCUCGAGGCGCGAUAGCGUGGGGAUCAAACAGG